UACGAAGGGGGGCUAGCGUUGCUCGGAAUCACUGGGCGUAAAGCGCACGUAGGCGGAUUGCUAAGUCAGGGGUGAAAUCCUGGAGCUCAACUCCAGAACUGCCUUUGAUACUGGCGAUCUUGAGUCCGGGAGAGGUGAGUGGAACUGCGAGUGUAGAGGUGAAAUUCGUAGAUAUUCGCAAGAACACCAGUGGCGAAGGCGGCUCACUGGCCCGGUACUGACGCUGAGGUGCGAAAGCGUGGGGAGCAAACAGGG
rnacentral:rRNA from 1 species